ACGGGAGGCAGCAGUGGGGAAUAUUGCACAAUGGGCGCAAGCCUGAUGCAGCGACGCCGCGUGAGGGACGACGGCCUUCGGGUUGUAAACCUCUUUCAGCACAGACGAAGCGCAAGUGACGGUAUGUGCAGAAGAAGGACCGGCCAACUACGUGCCAGCAGCCGCGGUAAUACGUAGGGUCCGAGCGUUGUCCGGAAUUACUGGGCGUAAAGAGCUCGUAGGUGGUUUGUCGCGUUGUUCGUGAAAACUCACAGCUCAACUGUGGGCGUGCGGGCGAUACGGGCAGACUAGAGUACUGCAGGGGAGACUGGAAUUCCUGGUGUAGCGGUGGAAUGCGCAGAUAUCAGGAGGAACACCGGUGGCGAAGGCGGGUCUCUGGGCAGUAACUGACGCUGAGGAGCGAAAGCGUGGGGAGCGAACAGGAUUAGAUACCCUGGUA
rnacentral:rRNA from 1 species